AACCUAACCAUUAUUGCAAAGUCAUUGCAGCACAGCUUUUAUCAGUUAGAGAGAGCUUCAAGGGGAGAUGGGGCAGAUAUAUCUCCAGUAAAGAUGAUCCCUUGGAGGAAAAUGCUUGUGCUUCAUGUACUUAUAAUUCUAGAUUUCAACAAUUAGUUGCUUAGAAAAAUCGAAAUUAGCUUCACCCUGGGGAUAGAAGUGAAGUGCUGCAGUUGUUUCCACUACUUUGUUGAGCAGCCUUCUCCUUGCAGCAGGUAAUUUGAAGUACUAAUUGAUAGAAGAAAAAAGAUCAAAGUUUGUUGAUAGUGAAAGAUAAUCUAUUUAUUUUUAGUUGUAAGCUUUUCUGGUGGAUUUCCCUGAUUACUUUGAGAUUGUAAUUGUUUUAAUGAGCAUUCUAUAUCCUUACUGUUGCCCCGUUCUAGCAUUGAUUUAAUGAUAAUACAUUAGCUUGUCUAAUUGUUAGCUGAGUUUAUAUAGUUGCAAGAACACAUUGAAGAGACUCCAGUAUUCAAGAGCUUGUUGAUCAAAUCAAGUUUCAAGUGAAGAAUGAUGAGCACAACUAUAUGUUUAAUUGUUAAAGUUUGGGAAUUUGAUAUUCCUUUUCUAAGCUAAACUGUCCUCCAUUUUCAUCCAUUUUUUACAAUUGAGUGAUCAACCCUUCUCAGCCAACUUGUUAAUGAAUUCCAGAGAGUCUAUCUUAAGGAGGACUAGCCUUACAUGGUUGAAGAAUGUUUUAUGUAUUUCAGUAUUUGUAUCAUUGCUCUUUCGAUUUUCUUUUCAGUGUCGCUUUAAAUUAAUAACUUUCUGUAUUCCUUGAAUUUCCUUAUCAGAUGCAGAAAUGAUCUUUCUUAACCAAUUGGUAAUCAUGUAGAGAACUCAUAUUUAUACAGUGAGAGAUUCUGUGAAUGAUGGUUAUGCUAAGAUCAGCUGUUCUUCAUUUUGGAGUUUGUAUGCUAUACUUGCUAAGAGUUUCUUAGCUUGCCGAUAAUUGCAAUCUUUAAAAUGUGUGUAUAUAUUGCCUUCCUUUUUAUGCCUAGUCACAUAAAUUUUUCUUAGUGGCAUCCAUUUAGGUACACAAUCUGAUUAUUUAUGUCAUCAACUAACCAUUAUCGGAAAGUCAUUGCACCACUACUUUAAGUGGCCUUUUAGAUAUAGAGAGCUAUUAGCUUAUACAGAGUAGUUUUGACUAUGCAGGGGAUUAUGAAAAUAUAUAACUCAGUGAAGCCAUCUUUAAACCUGUGCCACAGUUCCAUUCAUGCUUGUAGAGCAGGUGAUUUAUAUGCAGAUUCAUGGCUGACAAGGAAAGCAUGCUUUUGGGAGCGAAAACUGCUCUGAUUAGAUUCGUUUGCAUCUACAAAUGGUACAACUAUCUUCAUUGCAGGCUGAUGUGUAUGAAAUCUGGGGAUUGAGGGAUGAGGACAGACAGAAGCACAGAAAAGCAUGCAUGAAAAUCCUAAAAUGUCUGUUGAGGCUAUAUUGCCAUAUUUUCCAUCAUGGUGACUAAAGUGGGGUGUCCUUGUGAUCCAUUGCACAGAUUCUCAGGACACCAAAGCCUUGUAGUUGGGUUGGCAAAAAUUUUAUCACUGUUUUGGUAAGCAAUAAUCAUGUUCAUCAAAUGCCAUAUUAUUGUUCAAUUAAAGGCUAUGUAAUGUGCAGUGUGUGUCAUUAAAGUUGUGAGGUCUAGCUUUUUUGUGACAAUCCCUCGUGACUUUGAUGCCCAGGCUAACACCUGUCUUGUCUUCUCCCCUUUGGUCUUAUCAUUUGUGGGAUGGCAAAGUCAAAAACAUUGUGGAAUUAUUACAUACUAAAGAGCCAUUUCACACUAUGAAGUGAAAAAGGCUUAUGCUCAUGACUACAUGAUUUUGAGUCAUAAUAUUUUGCUCUCGGGACAUAGCUUAAUUAGUUGACUGAUUCAACGAAAAAUAACGUUUUGUUUGUUAUUAGUCAUAGCUCGUAGUUCAUAGGGUGUAAUACUUUGAGAAACUUGUGAACGGUUUAAAAUAUAUUCUGUGAUUUAAUCUCUUUCAACAAGAUUUCAGGGUAAAGACAAAUGACUAAAUGAGGGCUUUCAGAGUUGGAGUUUAAUCCUGAGUAAAGGCAGCAUUCAUAAAUUGUAACCAUUACUAUGAGAUGUAGGUUAAGCGAAGUGGAGGUUCACUAUAUGGUGAAUUAUCG